ensembl:lncRNA
GUUAAAUGUUUUCCAAUUAAUAUGGAUUACUACUACAAGACAGAGUGUGCUAUUUGUCUAAACUAAAACUUGUUAGUUUUAAUGGUGUAACUCUAAAAGAUUGUUGUAGUUUGGCAUCCUGUUAGUGGCUAAAUCAUGCUUUAAAAUUUUUUAAAAAAGAACUAUCAAACAGCUCUGGUUAGAUAGUAUGCACAAUGCAAUGUUUUAAAAAGCAAAUUCUGACACACAUAUAAAAUCACACAAGUCCCAUUAUGAUUACUCACUGUUUACACAGCAGUAUUUCCUGGAAUGAUGUCACAUGAGACUUCAGUUAAACAUUUCACUCAGCUUCUGAUUGAGCACAGGCGGGGCUCCCGACGCUUGAAUUAUUGUCUUUCUGAUAGUGGAAUCAUGAACAGUGACCUUUACUGAUGCAAGAGAGGCCUGUAGAUCCUUUGAUGUUGUCCUUGGCACUUUUGUGACUUGCUGGAUGAGUAGUUGCUGUGCUCUUGGAGGAAUUUUGGAAGGUUGGCCACUUCUGGGAAGGUUCACUACUGUGCCGAGUUUUACCAUUUGGAGAUGGAGUCCCAGAGCCUUUGAAAUUGCUUUGUAACCUUUCCCAGACUGAUUCUAUAUUUCAAUCACCUUCUUCCUCAUCAUUUCUGGAAUUACUUUCCAUUUUGUUAGUGUGUUACUGGGUAAGACCAAAUUCAUGCUGUUGAAAUUGUUCUAUUUAACUGUUGAUUUGAUUGAACAGGGUUUGCAGUAAUCAGGCCUGGUUGUGUCUAGUCCAGCUGAACCCCAUUAUGAAUGCAGUUUCAUAGAUUUGGGGAAUUAGUAACUAUGGGGGUAAAUACAUUUUGACACAGGCCCUGCUGGUAUUGGAUAAUUAUUUUUAUUUAUUUAUUUAUUUUGCUUCAGUAAAUGACACACAAUCAUUUUAACAACUGUUGUGUUUUUUUUUUUUUUUAUACUUGGUUUGCCUUUGUUCUAUCUUGGAUUUCGUUUUAAUUUCUGAAACAAUUUAGUAUGAGACAAAACAAGGAAUCAGGAUGGGGGCAAAUACUUUUCAUUGCACUGUAUUUAAAACUUCAUUUGUUCAAGGAGCUUUAUUGCCAUUGAAGAAAAAUUUCAAACUGCUGUAUAAUUGGUAUACACUGUUAAAAGUAGGUUAUGAGGAAUGCUGUAUGUUGUGAUCUUUUACUAAUUAUUUUUUUAUUAUUAUUUAUUGCAGGCAUGAUCAUUGAAGGUCCACGGAUUUUGCAGAAGGCGAAAAAGGGGGUGUAAUAAAAAAUAAAUACAUUAAAAAAAAAAGAUUAAUGGUGGGGGGGAGUAAUGUAGACACUUCAAAGGCAAUGGCACUUUUGUGAGUAGCUUUUACUCAUGUCAGUACUGCUCUGCACUAUGUUAUGUUAAUUCUGAGUUUUGUUAUAAAAAAGGAGGGGGGGGAAGAGAAAAAUGCAACAAAAAAAAUGACAAGGAAAAAAAAACCUGUGUUGUGCAUUAAAAUAUUUUUGGCUUACCCACA